UCUACGGGAGGCAGCAGUGGGGAAUAUUGCACAAUGGGGGAAACCCUGAUGCAGCGACGCCGCGUGAGCGAUGAAGUAUUUCGGUAUGUAAAGCUCUAUCAGCAGGGAAGAAAAUGACGGUACCUGACUAAGAAGCCCCGGCUAACUACGUGCCAGCAGCCGCGGUACAACGUAGGGGGCAAGCGUUAUCCGGAUUUAAUGGGUGUAAAGGGAGCGUAGACGGCGGUGCAAGUCAGAUGUGAAAGCCCGGGUCACAACCCCGGGACUGCAUUGGGAACUGUGCUGCUAGAGUGUCGGAGAGGCAGGCGGAAUUCCUAGGGUAGCGGUGAAAUGCGUAGAUAGUAGGAGGAACACCAGUGGCGAAGGCGGCCUGCUGGACGAUGACUGACGUUGAGGCUCGAAAGCGUGGGGAGCAAACAGGAUUAGAUACCCGGGUAGUC
rnacentral:rRNA from 1 species